rnacentral:lncRNA from 1 species
UGGUAUCAAAGCAUGACUUGAUCUUGUUCCUACAAGAUCAAUCUUGGGUUUGCUUGAUAGAAAAUUAAAAAAAAAAAGUGUUAGAAAACUGAAAAAUAAAAAAGAAGCAAAUCUGUCCAUUUUGUGUUCUUGGCCGAAAUUGUGUUAUUGUUGUGUCUUGGCCGAGAUUUUUACUUGUUUUGUUGUUUAUAGUGUUAUUUUUCUUCAUCUCUAA